CCCGCCACUGAGGAUAAGACCGGCACCCCCUGAGUUUUACUAGAAAACUCUGAUUAACUACGUUUUUGAAUAUUAUACAUGUUAGUAUUUAUUAUUUUAGACGUUUUCAAUCACAUCGAACCCAACAUGAUCCGUCAAUUGUAAAAAUAUAAAUCAAAACAAACUCGAAUGCCGAUGAUAUGUAGUCGGAUGUAACUUUCCGUCAGUGAAGUUUAAGCUUUUAUUGUUGAACGCGGUUUCAAAUUCUUUUCCGUUGCUCUACAGUUUGUCCCCUGGAUUGUUAGCAAUCACUGGGAUUCGAGUUGAGAUGCCUCGCAGCUACCAAAGGAAAACGAAUCGAGGGAGUUGGUCCCAGGAGAACCUCAUCCUUGCAAAAGAGGCCAUUGCUAGUGGAGUUUCUAUCAAAUAAGGUGGUAAGCUCGCAACUAGAUCCAAGAAAGGCCCUAUUUACGAUGGAGCAGGAAGCGGAGAUCAUGCAGCACCUACUUGACCUAGAAAACCGAUUUUAUGGCAUCACGAAGAUUGACGUACGGAAGCUAGCUUUCGAGCUUGCUGAAAGAAAU